rnacentral:misc_RNA from 1 species
GAAAUGCGAUACGUAAUGUGAAUUGCAGAAUUCAGUGAAUCAUCGAAUCUUUGAACGCACAUUGCGCCCGCCAGUAUUCUGGCGGGCAUGCCUGUUCGAGCGUCAUUUCAACCAUCAAGCCCCCCGGCUUGUGUUGGGGACCUGCGGCUGCCCGCAGGCCCUGAAAAACAGUGGCGGGCUCGCUGUCACACCGAGCGUAGUAGCAUACAUUCUCGCUCAGGGCGUGCUGCGGGUUCCGGCCGUUAAACGACCUUCAUAACCCAAGGUUGACCUCGGAUCAGGUAGGAAGACCCGCUGAACUUAAGC